rnacentral:rRNA from 1 species
CCAAUAGCGUAUAUUAAAGUUGUUGCAGUUAAAAAGCUCGUAGUUGAAUUUCGGGAUUAGUACGUUGGUCGUGCCUUCGGUACGUACUGGUGUUACUGAUUCCUACCUUCUGAAGAACCAUCAUGUCAUUAAUUUGGUGUGGCGGGGAAUCAGGACUGUUACUUUGAAAAAAUUAGAGUGUUUAAAGCAGGCUCGCGCUUGAAUACAUUAGCAUGGAAUAAUGAAAUAGGACGUUGAUCCUAUUUUGUUGGUUUCUAGGAUUGACGUAAUGAUUAAUAGGGAUAGUUGGGGGCAUUAGUAUUCAAUUGUCAGAGGUGAAAUUCUUGGAUUUAUUGAAGACUAACUACUGCGAAAGCAUUUGCCAAGGAUGUUUUCAUUAAUCAAGAACGAAAGUUAGGGGAUCGAAGACGAUCAGAUACCGUCGUAGUCUUAACCAUAAACUAUGCCGACUAGGGAUCGGAUGAUGUUAUUUUUAAUGACUCAUUCGGCGCCUUACG